rnacentral:misc_RNA from 1 species
AUUCAGAUAGCAAUUAAAAUCCUAAUGCACAUCUAAAUAAUGCAAAAGGAAGUUCAAAUGAGAGUUUAAAAAGGCAUUUUACAACUCAAGUUCCUAUAACUAAAAGAAAUUGAAGGCAAAAGGAAUUACAUUCCAAACUAACUAACUAACAAAGUCCCAAUCCUAUUAUAACUCGAUAUGCCUUCAAUCUCCUCGUUUUGUGACUCCAUCUCUCCUUUAUGUCUACCAAUUAGGGACUGCGUGGCUGCCUUGAAUCUCCAUUCCAGCACCUUCAUGACUUAGUAUUGAACUCCUUUAAACUCGAUAAUUGGUCCCAUAACUGAACCAUAUAUGCUGCAACUCACUUAUGCAUCAUAUGCUCACAAAACAUCCAAUCGAGGGAAAAAACAUGCACACACACACACACAUAUUGACAUAAAAUUUCAAUACACACAAAAGACACUUAAUAUACAUCAAAACCAACAUCUAAAAUACAAGAAAAAAUGAUAAAAUGACUGAAAUAAUAUUCACACUCAAAUUAGGUUGUUACAUGAAUCUUGAUCACUAAUUAUCAUCAUUCAACUAGCUUUACAUAAAAGUGGUAGAAAGGAAUGAGCAACCAUCCUCCAUAGAUUUCUCAAUAACACCAAUGUGAGUUAAGGCUUAGGACCUCCUUAAGUGCAUGAUCGAAUAUAUGGCAUGAACUCUUAAUUCCAAACUGGGUUCGUUUCUUGAAUGGAAUAUGAAGGAAGGGGCGAGCUGGGGCAAGUACAUUCGAAUCCACAUUGACCUCUCCUCCCACCCCCAAGUUAAUCCUUGUAACCCUUAAAAGAAAUUUUUUUAGGUCUAGUCAA